CCCAGCCCUCAUUUAAGGGCUGGCAGUGGAGGCAAAGGGAUCUCAUCUGGAGAUCCCUGCGUACCUGAGGCCUUCCAAGGGAUGUGUGCAGAACAGAACUCCCACCAGGGUCUGAGCCCAUGGCUGCUCUGCUCAGCUCCGCCUUUGCUCCCGGAGCUCUUGUUUGCAGUAGAAACAAAACUGUAAUACACAUGAAAUUUCAUGAACUUUUCAACCCUGUCAAGGACAUCUCCAGCUUCAUUAUAUUUUCCUCUGAGGAGUGUUAUGACAAGAGCAAAGCCUUGUUUUCCUUUGCUUUUGCCUCAUAAUGUCAAAGGGAAAAGAGAUUUGGCUGCUGCAUAUUCAUGAACUACUGCCGGAGAUUGGAUGGAGUCCAUGGCAGAGGUUCAUGUAGCAGCUGAGAUGUUGACUUCUUGGCUGGCCUGAGGAUAAUCCGGACGCUGCACCCAUUAGCCCAGCAGGUCUGCAGGCAUCAGAAGUGAGAAUAACUGUCUCGUAUCACGUCAGGAUAGAGGGGCUGGUCAUUCCUUGUGUCACAUCACUGCCUACCGGGAUGCAAGGUGAUAAUUGGAAAUUCUGGGUGCUGAAGGACUGGUGAUCUUUCUUACGUGAAAGAUGUGACUUGGGCUUGAGGUUUGUUGUGGCAGUGCCUGGGUUUGUGCUGGGAGCCCAAGAGCAGCUGAUGUUUCCUGUUAUCAUUUGCAAGCUCCUCCACAUAUGAAGGUUUCUGCAGUGUUGCAGUGCAAUGUCUUUUUUCUUUCCUGUUGGAUCUUAUUAAGGGAUACAGCCAAAAUAUUAACUAGGGAUACAUGGGUAGGGAUCUGUGUGUGAGAACAAGACUUCCCUGCACGCAGUGUUUUUAAAAGAGAUGCAUGUUUCUCAUGUCACAUCGGGGAUGGCAGCAGCCUCUUCUUCUCAGCAGGAGUGUCUAUCAAAGAGAAACGCAUCUUUGUAGGCUGGCAUGAACUGAUUUCCCUUGUCUUGUGCAUGAUAACAUUUUAAUCGGGCAAUUCAUUGUGCUGGGAACCAGCUUUUCAUUCAGCUAUUUUUUAUAAGUUUUCUCAUUUUCUUUAAUUACUUUAAUUUCUUAGGGAAACAAUAAAUCUCAACAGGAUUUAGUUCAACUGAAACUUUUGGGUGUUAAAUCUGUUGAAAACCCAGAAAGCAUCAUGCAGUGAGUGAAAUAUUAAUGAUCACUUACUUCUUAUGCAAGUAAUUCAUGAUUAGGAAAAUGGGUGCUGCACAAUCCAACGUGCAGGAUUUCUAGUCCAUUUUGCUUUCUAGAUGACUGACGUAUGGAAAACUCCUUAUAACUGAAAACAAUACAAUGUACAUUCCUCAGAUCAACAUCUAGUAACUUGCCAGCUUUGACCUCAGAACUGAACUAAUUCCUGACCAAUGGAAUCAAAUAUUAUGUGGAAGAGCUCGAAGUUUAUCUGCAGAUUGCUUCAUCAUGUUUCUGUUCCUAUUUCAUGCCAGGGAGAUGUAUGGGCGCUACUGGGUGGCAGAUAUGGAUUCAAUGCUUGGAGUACCUAUAGAUGUUGUAGGGGACUGUGAACUAAAUCACCUCCAUCUAAGAAGUUUCAUUUAGUGCAGGGUUGUUAGAGGUAGGGCAGAAUGGUUAGGUUGUGGUUGUCUGGAUGAUCUUGAUGGCCUUUUCCAACCUGAGCAGUUCUGUGAUUCUAUAGCAACUACUUCAUCACAGACCCAUUAAAUACAUUUAAAUAUUUUAUAGACUACUUCAGUAGGCUCUAAACAGUCUCUUUUUCUGUUCUAGUUCUAUCACUGUAAAUAUGUGGGUUGUUUGGCAAGUAAUGCCUCCGAUUUCUUUCCAUGAGAACUGCACCAGAUACAAAGAGCUCAGCAACGGUACUUGGAAGAGCAAAUUCUCAUCUGCUGGUUGUAAACGUUUUAGUGGGCAGCCUUUUUCUAUAAAAUACAGUCUAGGGGACAGUGAGUAGUUAUUAAUCAAAAUAUACGUAUGCUUUACCAAUAAGGAUAAAGUAGAACAAACAGUCUGUUUUCUUGAUUUUGUUCUUUUUUAACCCCAGAUUAUAUUUUAAUUACAUAUUGUAAUUGUAACUUUUUAUUUUAUGAAGUUUUGGCAUUUUUAAAAAUCAAAUAUUUCCCACAGGUAGAAAAUCCACUUUAUUGGCAUUCUGCAGGCAAUUAAUUUUGAUUCUAUAGUUUAAAAGAAAAUAUUUUAAAAAAGAAUGAUUUUUGAAAUGACAGCUUUUCCUGUGGAAAUAAAAUCUGUCUUUCUAAGCAAAUGUAUAUAUGUCUUAAUAUAGUUUCAAUAUCACAAAGAUUUUCACUGCAAUUGACACUAAUUGGAGGGGACAGGUGGUGACGGGGGGGGAAUCUCUCCAGGAUUGUGCAGGAUUGAUCACAGGAUACACAGAACUAGAGGCGGUUGAAAAGUGCAUAAAUAUCAGUUAUGUAAGAAAUUGAUUAGCUGAAGUUAAUUAAAAAAAAAAGACAACAAUGAAAAACCUGCAAUAUCACUGUUUUAGUUACACUGGCUUAGGCAAAGGAGAAUGCGCACUACUGAACUGUCUCUCAGCUUGUAAACCAAUGGACUGUCUCAAUAGAAAUAAAGCUGAUA